UACGAAGGGAGCUAGCGUUGUUCGGAAUUACUGGGCGUAAAGGGUGCGUAGGCGGUUCGACAAGUCAGAUGUGAAAGCCCUGGGCUCAACCCGGGAACUGCGUUUGAUACUGUCGUGCUUGAAUUCGGGAGAGGUGAGUGGAAUUCCCAGUGUAGAGGUGAAAUUCGUAGAGAUUGGGAAGAACACCGGUGGCGAAGGCGGCUCACUGGACCGACAUUGACGCUGAGGCACGAAAGCGUGGGGAGCAAACAGG
rnacentral:rRNA from 1 species